CGGGGUGUGGCGCAGUUGGCCAGCGCACUUGCAUGGGGUGCAAGAGGUCGGAAGUUCGAGUCUUCUUACCCCGA
rnacentral:tRNA from 1 species